rnacentral:rRNA from 1 species
AGCAGUAGCCACGGGAAUACAGAGGGUGCGAGCGUUAAUCGGAUUUACUGGGCGUAAAGCGUGCGUAGGCGGCUUUUUAAGUCGGAUGUGAAAUCCCUGAGCUUAACUUAGGAAUUGCAUUCGAUACUGGGAAGCUAGAGUAUGGGAGAGGAUGGUAGAAUUCCAGGUGUAGCGGUGAAAUGCGUAGAGAUCUGGAGGAAUACCGAUGGCGAAGGCAGCCAUCUGGCCUAAUACUGACGCUGAGGUACGAAAGCAUGGGGAGCAAACAGGAUUAGAUACCCGUGUAGUCCCUGUCUCUUAUAA